GACAGAGGGUGCAAACGUUGUUCGGAAUUACUGGGCGUAAAGCGCGUGUAGGCGGCUGCGCAAGUCGGAUGUGAAAUCCCAUGGCUCAACCAUGGAAGUGCACCCGAAACUGCGUGGCUUGAGUCUCGGAGAGGAAGGUGGAAUGCUUGGUGUAGAGGUGAAAUUCGUAGAUAUCAAGCGGAACACCGGUGGCGAAGGCGGCCUUCUGGACGAUGACUGACGCUGAGACGCGAAAGCGUGGGGAGCAAACAGG
rnacentral:rRNA from 1 species